rnacentral:lncRNA from 1 species
CAUUGUGUGAUUCGAUAAAGAGAAAAACAAGAAAAAAAAGACAUUUCUGUAAAACGACAAAAUUAUCAAUAUGGUUGUUGUGUUCACGGAAAUGUCUAGCUAGGUAGUUACCUAAAGCAUCGUGGGACCGUGGACAACAACAGGAGUCCGGACGGCGGCACGCAAAACUGCAUUGCCUGCUUCAUGGGUAAAUGUAGCCUUACCCACAUCAACCUGGACCCCAUGCACACAUGCUAAAGCAGGUGGAUUGGGUUUUGGAACAGUGUUCCCAG